rnacentral:rRNA from 1 species
UAAAAGCUAAUAAGGGCACACGGUGGAUGCCUUGGCUCACAGAGGCGAUGAAGGACGUGAUAAGCUGCGAUAAGCUUUGGGGAGGAGCAAAUAUCCGUUGAUCCAGAGAUUUCCGAAUGGGGAAACCCAAUAAUCCGAAAGGAAGCUAACCCAGGGAACUGAAACAUCUAAGUACCUGGAGGAAAAGAAAAUAAAAAUGAUUCCCCUAGUAGUGGCGAGCGAACGGGGAAGAGCCCAAACCAUAAUUGUUUCGGCAAAUAUGGGGUUGUAGGACUGUAACAUGGACUUUAAAAUUAUAGUGGAAGCAGAUGGAAUUAUGCGCCAUAGAGGGUGAGAGCCCCGUACACGAAAUAGUUUUAAUACCUAACAGUAUCCUGAGUAGGGCGGGACACGUGUAAUCCUGUCUGAAUCUGCCGGGACCAUCCGGUAAGGCUAAAUACUCCUGUGAGACCGAUAGUGAACUAGUACCGUGAGGGAAAGGUGAAAAGUACCCUUAUUAAGGGAGUGAAAUAGUACCUGAAACCGUGUGCUUACAAGCUGUAGGAGCCCUUCGGGGUGACUGCGUGCCUUUUGCAUAAUGAGCCUACGAGUUACUCGUCAAUAGCAAGGUUAAUGCGUUCAGCGCAGUAGCCGAAGCGAAAGCAAGUCUGAAUAGGGCGAUUAGUUAUUGGCGGUAGACGCGAAACCCUGUGAUCUACCCAUGGUCAGGUUGAAGUUCCGGUAACACGGAAUGGAGGACCGAACCGGUUGACGUUGAAAAGUCUUCGGAUGAACUGUGGGUAGGGGUGAAAGGCCAAUCAAACUGGGAAAUAGCUCGUACUCCCCGAAAUGCAUUUAGGUGCAGCCUCGAGGUUGAGUUUUAUAGAGGUAGAGCUACUGAUAGGGCUAGGGGGCUUCACCGCCUACCAACCCCUGACAAACUCCGAAUGCUAUAAAAUAUACUCGGGAGUGAGGGUAUGGGUGCUAAGGUCCAUAUCCGAGAGGGAAAGAACCCAGAUCAUCAGCUAAGGUCCCCAAGUAUACACUAAGUUGACCAAACGUGGUCCAACUGCAUUGACAGCUAGGAUGUUGGCUUGGAAGCAGCCAUUCAUUUAAAGAGUGCGUAACAGCUCACUAGUCGAGCGGUCGGGCGUGGAUAAUAAUCGGGCAUAAGUGUAUCACCGAAGCUAUGAACUCGAAAGAGUGGUAGGGGAGCAUUCUAAUCUGCAUUGAAGGUGUGUCGCGAGGCAUGCUGGAGCGUUUAGAAAAGAAAAUGUAGGCAUAAGUAACGAUAAAGCAGGCGAGAAACCUGCUCACCGAUAGACUAAGGUUUCCCCAGCCAUGCUAAUCAGCUGGGGGUUAGUCGGGACCUAAGGCGAACCCGAACGGGGUAGUCGAUGGACAUCAGGUUAAUAUUCCUGAACUCAUCUAGCCUGCAAUACAGGGACGGGGUCAUGAAACUACUACGUACUGACGGAAAUGUACGUUGAGCCUAGCCUUCUGGCGAAGCAAAGUAGCGUAGUGGCUCCCAAGAAAAGCUGUAACGUAUAGAACUAGAUACCCGUACCGCAAACCGACACAGGUAGUCAAGGAGAGAAUCCUGAGGUGCUCGAGUGAUCCGUGGCUAAGGAACUAGGCAAAUUCGUCCUGUAACUUCGGAAGAAAGGACGCUCCACUUUGUGGAGCCGCAGUGAAAAGGCCCAGGCGACUGUUUAUCAAAAACACAUGGCUAUGCUAAAUCGAAAGAUGAUGUAUAUGGCCUGACACCUGCCCGGUGCUGGAAGGUUAAGAGGAGGGCUUAGGCUUUGGCCGAAGGUCUGAAUUGAAGCCCCAGUAAACGGCGGCCGUAACUAUAACGGUCCUAAGGUAGCGAAAUUCCUUGUCGGGUAAGUUCCGACCUGCACGAAUGGUGUAACGAUCUGGGCACUGUCUCAGCCACGAGCUCGGUGAAAUUGUAGUCUCGGUGAAGAUGCCGAGUACCCGCAACGGGACGGAAAGACCCCGUGCACCUUUACUAUAGCUUCACGUUGGUAUUGGAUAAUUGAUGUGUAGGAUAGGUGGGAGACUUUGAAGCAACCUCGCUAGGGGUUGUGGAGUCGUCCUUGAAAUACCACCCUUUAAUUAUUUGAUGCCUAACCCAGUAAUGGGAACAGCGUGUGGUGGGUAGUUUGACUGGGGUGGUCGCCUCCAAAAGAGUAACGGAGGCUUCUAAAGGUGUCCUCAGCACGCUUGGUAACCGUGCGCAGAGUGUAAUGGCACAAGGACGCUUGACUGUGAGACCGACAAGUCGAGCAGGUACGAAAGUAGAGCAUAGUGAUCCGGUGGUUCCGCAUGGAAGGGCCAUCGCUCAAAGGAUAAAAGGUACGCCGGGGAUAACAGGCUGAUCACUCCCAAGAGCUCACAUCGACGGAGUGGUUUGGCACCUCGAUGUCGGCUCGUCACAUCCUGGGGCUGGAGAAGGUCCCAAGGGUUGGGCUGUUCGCCCAUUAAAGUGGCACGCGAGCUGGGUUCAGAACGUCGCGAGACAGUUCGGUCCCUAUCUGUUGUGGGCGUUAGAGAUUUGAAGGAACCUGACUCUAGUACGAGAGGACCGGGUUGGACGAACCUCUGGUUUACCUGUUGUGGCGCCAGCUGCAUCGCAGGGUAGCUAAGUUCGGUUGAGAUAAGCGCUGAAAGCAUCUAAGCACGAAACUCUUCCUAAGAUGAGAUCUCUUUUAAAGGUCGUUAUAGACGAUGACGUUGAUAGGCUACAGGUGUAAAGACGGUGACGUCAUAGCCGAGUAGUACUAAUUACCUGUAGGCUUUGG